ensembl:lncRNA ERVE-1 endogenous retrovirus group E member 1
AAAGGAAAAACUUAUGUCAGCCCCAGCCCUGGGGCUAUCCGAUCUGACAAAGCCUUUUACAUUGUAUGUGUCAGAGAGAGAAAAGAUGGCAGUUGGAGUUUUAACCCAAACUGUGGGGCCCUGGCUGAGGCCGGUGGCCUAUCUCUCUAAACAACUAGACGGGGUUGCUAAAGGAUGGCCCCCAUGUUUGAGGGCCUUGGCACCAACUGCCCUGCUAGUACAAGAAGCAGAUAAGCUGACUCUUGGGCAAAACCUGAACAUAAAGGCCCCCCAUGCUGUGGUGACUUUAACGAAUACUAAAGGACAUCAUUAGCUAGCGAAUGCUAGACUCACUAAGUACCAAAGUUUGCUCUGUGAAAAUCCCCGUAUAACCACUGAAGUUUGUAACACCCUGAACCCCACUACCUUGCUCCCGGUAUCAGAGAGCCCUGUCAAGCAUGAUUGUGUAGAAGUAUUGGACUCAGUUUACUCUAGCAGACCUGACCUCUGGGACCAGCCUUGGGCAUCAGUAGACUGGGAACUAUACGUGGAUUGGAGCAGCUUCAUCAACCCACAAGGAGAGAGAUUUGCAGGGUGUGCGGUGGUAACCCUGGGCACUGUUGUUGAAGCCAGAUCGUUGCCCCAGGGCACUUCAGCCCAGAAAGCUGAACUCAUUGCUUUCAUUCAGGCCUUAGAACUCAGUGAAGGUAAGACUGUCAACAUUUACACUGACUCUCGGUAUGCCUUUUUAACCCUUCAAGUGCAUGGAGCAUUAUAUAAAGAAAAGCGCCUAUUGAACUCUGGGGGAAAGGACAUAAAAUAUCAACAAGAAAUCUUGCAAUUAUUAGAAGCAGUAUGGAAACCACACAAGGUGGCCGUUAUGCAUUGCAGAGGACACCAGCGAGCUUCCACCUUGGUGGGUUUGCGGAAUUCCCGCGCUGACUUAGAGGCUCGAAAAGCAGCAUCUGCCCCCUUCCGGGCAUCAGUCACAGCACCCCUGCUCCCUCAAGCGCCUGAUCUUUUACCUACUUAUUCUAAAGAAGAAAAGGACUUUCUCCAGGCAGAGGGAGGACAAGUGAUGGAGGAAGGAUGGAUUCGGUUACCAGAUGGGAGAGAAGCUGUGCCACAGCUGCUAGGAGCCGCAGUUGUGCUGGCUGUGCAUAAAACCACCCAUCUAGGCCAGGAGUCACUUGAAAAGUUGUUAGUCCGGUAUUUCUACAUCUUGCAUUUGUCAGCCCUUGCCAAAACGGUGACGCAGCGGUGUGUUACCUGCCCAAAGCAUAAUGCGAAGCAAGGUCCAGCUGUUCCGCCCGUCAUACAAGCUUAUGGAGCAGCCCCCUUUGAAGAUGUCCAGGUGGACUUCACAGAGAUGCCAAAGUGUGGAGGUAACAAGUAUUUACUAGUUCUUGUGUGUACCUACUCUGGUGGGUGGAGGCUUAUCCAGCACAAACUGAGAAAGCUCGUGAAGUAACCUGUGUGCUUCUUCGAGAUCCUAUUCCUAGAUUUGGACUGCCCUUACGGAUCGGCUCAGAUAAUGGGCCAGCAUUUGUGGCUGACUUGGUACAGAAGAGGGCAAAGGUAUUGGGGAACACAUGGAAACUGCAUGCUGCCUACCGGCCUCAGAGUUCCAGAAAGGUGGAGUCGAUGAAUUGGACUAUCAAAAAUAGCUUAGGGAAAGUAUGUCAGGAAACAGGAUUAAAAUGGAUACAGGCUCUCCCUAUGGUAUUAUUUAAAAUUAGAUGUACCCCUUCUAAAAGAACAGGAUAUUCCCCUUAUGAAAUAUUGUAUCAUAGGCCCCCUCCCAUAUUGCAGGGACUUCCAGGCACUCCCCGAGAGUUAGGUGAAAUUGAGUUACAGCGACAACUACAGGCUUUAGGAAAAAUUACACAAACAAUCUCAGCCUGGGUAAAUGAGAGAUGCCCUGUUAGCUUAUUCUCCCCAGUUCACCCUUUCUCCCCAGGUAAUCGAGUGUGGAUCAAGGACUGGAACGUAACUUCUUUGUGCCCACGGUGGAAAGACCGUAGUCUGUCGUCCUGACCACUCCCACCGCUGUGAAGGUAGAGGGAAUCCCAGCCUGGAUCCACCACAGCCGUGUAAAACCUGCAGCACCUGAAACCUGGGAGGCAAGACCAAGCCCAGACGACCCUUGCAGAGUGACCCUGAGGAAGACGACAAGCCCUGCUCCAGUCACACCCAGAAGCUGACUGGUCCACGCACGGCCGAAGCAUGAGGAAGCUCAUCGUGGGAUUCAUUUUUCUUAAAUUCUGGACUUACACAGUAAGGGCUUCAACUGACCUUACUCAAACUGGGGACUGUUCCCAGUGUAUUCAUCAGGUCACUGAGGUAGGACAGCAAAUUAAAACAAUCUUUCUGUUCUAUAGUUAUUAUGAAUAUAUGGGAAUGUUAAAAGAAACUUGUUUGUAUAAUGCCACUCAGUACAAGGUAUGUAGCCUGGGAAAUGACCCACCUGAUGUGUGUUAUAACCCAUCUGAGCCCCCUGCAACCACCAUUUUUGAAACAAGAUUAAGAACUAGCCUUUUCCUAGGUGACACAAGUAAAAUAAUAACUAGAACAGAAGAAAAAGGAAUCCCCAAACAAAUAAUUUUAAGAUUUGAUGCUUGUGCAGCCAUUAAUAGUAACAAACUAGGAACAGAAUGUGGUUCUCUUAACUGGGAAAGGAGCUACAGAGUAGAAAAUAAAUAUGUUUGUCAUG